rnacentral:rRNA from 1 species
GACGUAGGGCGCGAGCGUUGUCCGGAUUUAUUGGGCGUAAAGAGCUCGUAGGCGGCUUGUCGCGUCGUCCGUGAAAACCUGAGGCUCAACCUCGGGCGUGCGGUGGAUACUGCCGGGCUAGAGUGCGGUAGAGGUAGCUGGAAUUCCCGGUGUAGCGGUGAAAUGCGUAGAUAUCGGGAGGAAUACCUAUGGCGAAAGCAGGCUACUGGACCGUCACUGACUCUGAUCUGCGAAAGCUAGGGGAGCAAACAGG